CUACUACUUCCUCCGUUCCAUAAUUCUUGUCGAAAUAUUACAUGUAUCUAGACACUUUUUAGGAAUAGAUACAUUGGGCAAAUUUGAGACAGGAAUUAUGGAACGGAGGGAGUAUAUC
rnacentral:pre_miRNA from 1 species